UACAUGGGGUGCAAACGUUGCUCGGAAUCAUUGGGCGUAAAGCGCGCGUAGGCGGUUACACAAGUUGGAUGUGAAAGCCCUCGGCUUAACUGAGGAAGUGCAUCCAAAACUGUGCAGCUAGAGUACUAAAGAGGGUCGCGGAAUUCCCGGUGUAGAGGUGAAAUUCGUAGAUAUCGGGAGGAACACCGGUGGCGAAGGCGGCGACCUGGGUAGAUACUGACGCUGAGGCGCGAAAGCGUGGGGAGCAAACAGG
rnacentral:rRNA from 1 species